CGGAAUGCUACGGUGCUCGACGAAACGAAGAUGCUGGUCGUGAAGUGUGGAAGGACAAUAUUCAGUUCCUUCGUAGCACUUCCAACAACUCCCACAUUUACAAUCGAAUAUGCGAGGAGCUGGAAGGCCAUGGCGUUACAACUGAGCUACAAAAAAGCUGUUAAAACGUUUGAGGCAACGCUGUACGAGCAAUUUUUCGAGGCAGUGUACUUUUACAGAUCCGCCAUGGGCCCUAUGGAGGAUCACCUUCUUCUUGGGAUCAUUUCGAUAUUAUACACAGUUUUCUCCAUACUUACGAACAAAACAAAAUUUGCGAUUUGAUGGAUGAAGUGAUUGUUUCCGACGAUGACUACUGCGAUGCUGAAUACUUUGAUGAAGCGUACAACCCGGAGAACGACACAUCUGCUCAAUCUGAGUUUAGGUCACCUUCGCCGACGAUAUCAGUAUCAUCAACAUCACCAAAACUGCCAUUAUCUAGCCACAAGCAUUCCGCUCCUAAAAAGAAAAAGCAAAAUAUAAAGCUAUGAAAGAAAACGAGAAUAUGGAUGCUUUUCUGGAGCAUUACGAAACGACAGAUUUUCAAAAAAUCGAGCUAAUGAAGGAGGAUAACUCGUUGAUGAACAAGCUGAUCAAUAAAAUUUGAAGUAUUUACUUGGUUGUGAA